AGAACAACAAAGGACUUAGAAUAUCCCAUAAACUUAGUUGAUAAAAGAGUGGCAGGGUUUGAGAGAAUUGGUUCCAAUUUUGAUAUAAAUUCUACUGUAGGUAGAAUGCUACCAAACUGCAUAGCAUGCUACAGUGAAAUCUUUUGUGAAAGGAAGAGUCAGUCAAUGCAGUAAACUUCAUUGUCAUCUUAUUUUAAGAAAUUGCCACUCCCUCUCCAGCCCUCAGCAACCACCACCUCGAUCAGUCACUAGCUAUCAACAUUGAGACAAGACCAUCCAGCAGCAAAAUGAUGAUGACUUACUGAAGGCCCAGAUGAUGGUUAGCAGUUUUUGGCAAUCACGUAUUUUCAAAGAACCCUGGCCAUGGGAGCUAUCUCAGCCUAAUGCUCUCCCAUUACAAAAUUUUACACCUUCUUUCUGUAUCAGGGUUCUUCUCCAAGCUCAGUCUGAAAUGACGAAAGCAGCCAAGCAUGGUGGCUCACGCCUGUAAUCUCAGCAUUUUGGGAGGCUGAGGCAGAUGGAUCACCUGUG
rnacentral:lncRNA from 1 species